rnacentral:sRNA from 1 species
GUGAUUCAAAACACCACUUUUUAUUGUAGUGCACUUUAGACUAUGUAUGUACAAAAAAUUAGUUUAGUAUAUAGAGGAUAAUCCAAACAAAACUAAUUUUGAACCAAUAUAAAAUGAACUUGUAGAUAAUACAAAAUCCUAGAUAAAAGACCAUUUUAAAUCCCACAAGAGACCUACAUAUAAUUCGUCACCAACGCUAUAAUAUAGGAAACACACAAGGAUAAAAGAAAGAAAGAUUAUAAAAAUGGCCUCUCUAAACAUAUUGCGACUUGUUCAUUGGGAUCAAGUAAAAAGGAAUUUGGAAAUUGACAUACAACAUUCCAUCAUUAAUAUUGCACUUCUUGUGCAUACGAAGAAUGGAUCAAAUCCUCCCGCAGACAUCGUAAGAAAAUGGUCGAAGCUUAUGAGAGUCUUUACGUUUUGAAAGCGCGGCGGAAUUUUUAUCUCAAUUGAAUUUAUGAAGCAUAUUUCUGUUUUUUUUCUCCCUAAAAAGGUGGUGAAUAAUAAUAUUUAGAGAUAUUAUAUGAAAUGUUU